rnacentral:rRNA from 1 species
AGUAGUUUGAUCCUGGCUCGAGGACAACGCUGGCGGCGUGCCUAACACAUGCAAGUCGAACGGAGUAAGAAUUUCGGUUUUUACUUAGUGGCGAACGGGUGAGUAACGCGUGAACAACCUGCCUUUCUGAGGGGGAUAACACCUGGAAACAAGUGCUAAUACCGCAUAAGACCACGGAAUCGCAUGAUUCAGGGGUCAAAGGAGCAAUCCGCAGGGAGAGGGGUUCGCGUCCCAUUAGCUAGUUGGCGGGGCAACGGCCCACCAAGGCGACGAUGGGUAGCCGAGCUGAGAGGCUGAUCGGCCACACUGGAACUGAGACACGGUCCAGACUCC